rnacentral:rRNA from 1 species
AUUGAACGCUGGCGGCAGGCCUAACACAUGCAAGUCGAGCGCGCGGCGGACGGGGGAGUAAUGUCUGGGAAACUGCGUGAGGGAGAGGGGGAACAACUGUGAACGGUAGCUAAUACAGCAUACGAUAUGAUAUGUCCACAUGGGAUUAGCUGGAGGGUGUGGUAACGGCUCACCUAGGCGACGAUCCCUAGCUGGUCUGAGAGGAUGACCAUCCACACUGGAACUGAGACACGGUCCAGACUCCUACGGGAGGCAGCAGUGGGGAAUAUUGCACAAUGGGCGCAAGCCUGAUGCAGCCAUGCCGCGUGUGUGAAGAAGGCCUUCGGGUUGUAAAGUACUUUCAGCGGGGAGGCGUUACCCGCAGAAGAAGCACCGGCUAACUCCGUGCCAGCAGCCGCGGUAAUUC